CACACUGACACACCAACAACCCUCACCAUCUCAACCCAAAACUAACCCACUCCAGACACACACGAUCAUACAACCACAACAACCUAACUAAACCACCAAAUAGACAUCACUGUCUCAACCACCACCAGCGCCAUGCCCUUCCCAGACCCCAGAGCAUUUCGAGACUAACACACCCACAUUAAAUAAGGCUUUCGUAGAGGUUUCGGGCAUUUCCAGAGCUACAUUUAUGACGCUGGUGGUAAUGUGAACCUUCCUCUGUACCGUGAACCUAAAAGAACACUUAUUUGAACGCGAUUCGCCUCAUUUUUGGCCUUGAGAUAUAGUUCACAUGAGAGGUGGAAGCGUUUGAGCACCCCGACUAGGUCCCCGCCAUGCAAUGAGUCAGUCAGUAGCCUCAGACCCUCAGUAGCCCGCCAGCGUCCGUGAGUGUGGGCCGCGUCGCUCGGAUCGAUCUCACGCUGCUGGUCGGGAGGUCGGGAGCCACUAGCAGCCAGCCACAGUCUCGGCAUGGCGCAAGGGCCCGCACUCUACCCUGGUUUUCCCCGUGCUCUUUGCCCCUCAGCCUCACCGCAGCCUCCCUAUGUCCCCGGCCGCCCGCUGUGAGGCCCGGCAGUCCACCCUCGCCCGUGGGAGGCACCAUGGGGGCCUGCAUCACGCGCUGCCUCCCUCUCUAUAGCGACCCAAGGUACCAGCCCGUCAGGAGCCGCUACCUGAUACAAGAUGACGUGGUACAGGCAGAACCGAGCCGGACCGCGCGUCUGUCAGCCAGGUGAGUUAACCAGGCAAUCAGGGCUCCAGGUAUCCAGGUACAGAGAGAUAGAGAGGAAGGGAGAGGGAGGUACAAGAGAGAAAGAGAGAGAAGGAGGAGGAGGAGUGAUGGAGAGAAGGUAGAUGGAGGGGGGAGAGAGAAGGUAGAUGGAGGGAGGAGAGAGAAGGUAGGGAAAAGA